GCCCGCUUGGCUCAGUUGGCAGAGCGUCGGUCUUGUAAACCGAAGGUCCGUAGUUCGAUUCUGCGAGCGGGCA